UACGUAGGGUGCGAGCGUUAAUCGGAAUUACUGGGCGUAAAGCGUGCGCAGGCGGUUCGCUAAGACCGAUGUGAAAUCCCCGGGCUUAACCUGGGAACUGCAUUGGUGACUGGCGAGCUAGGGUGUGGCAGAGGGGGGGUAGAAUUCCACGUGUAGCAGUGAAAUGCGUAGAGAUGUGGAGGAAUACCGAUGGCGAAGGCAGCCCCCUGGGCUAACACUGACGCUCAUGCACGAAAGCGUGGGGAGCAAACAGG
rnacentral:rRNA from 1 species